AUCAAUUGAGCGGAGUGAGUUGAUAUAAGCUUUAUAAGAAGACAAUUCAUUGUGGUGUUUGUGGUGAUUUCAUUGUGUAUUAAUCAAAAUGUGGAAGUAUAAGGUUUGGAUAAUGUUAUAUUAGGAAGGUGGAGUCUUUUGUGCAUAAAAAACCAGUUCAAAUAUUCAAAACUUUCAGAACACAAAGCGUGGUACUUAUAUUACGUUGAUACAGUCGAUUCUGUAUCGAUUGUUAUCUUUAAUUGGAUUUCUAAUAGUGCUUUUAUAUGUCGAGAUCUAGAUCUACAUGUGACGGACCGAUAAACAAACAAAACCGUCUAGGAUCAGCUUUUUCCUUGAAGAAGAUAUUUUUUUUUAGUUUCCCUAAAAUUGUGUUUUGAUGAAUGUUUAAUGUUUUGCUUCCGGUGUGCCGGUUAAAAUAGAACUUUCACAAAGUGCCUGAGCUUCUCAAAAACAAGCCUUGUUAAUUAGGUGUCUACAAACUGACCAGUUUCUUGACUCAUCCUGGAAGUGAGCUCACAUUUGUGUGUUACCACUUUAAGGGAAUGAAUGACUAGCUGUACGUCACAUGAACACACACAAGAAAAAAAAAUACAUGAUGUGCUUUUUCAUUGGAACUUAAGAAUCUCAACCCUACUGGAUAGAAAGGGUUAAGGUUUGAAGUGCGUGACCUCACUGUGUCUCUUUUCCCAUGAUGGAUACACACCAGGAUAGACUUACAUGGCAGAGCUUCAGAUGGCUAGUGGUCAUUCUUAUAUCUUACGUUACUGCUGGCAAUAUUCCUGCCACGGAGACCUGGUCACGGUGGUGGUCUUAUGAUGGUAUCAGCGGUCCCAACUACUGGGGCAAGACGAACCCUGACUGGAAACUGUGUAAACAUGGCAAACAGCAGUCCCCUAUAAACAUCGAGCCAUC
rnacentral:sRNA from 1 species